CACUGUCCCUAGUCGAUACGCAGCCAUCAAAAGCCAAGAUAAAUGUAAACAUGAGCAAGCCAUCCCAAUCCGCUCAGGUAGAUACGUAUGCAAACCCUGAAGACUUCAUUAAAACACCACCACACAUGCAUCCACGAAAGAACGAGGGGGCAGAGGAUCAGGGGGAAGUUCUGAAAUCCCUUACUGUAGAGCACUAAUGACGAAGUGCUGGUGAGCCAUAAUUACUUGUUGGUAUGUGUUGUUCAUACGUAUGUAACUUUGUGUGUCGUUAUUGUCGUGGUUUAAAGAUGGCUUGUUUUGCCUAGUACGCUGUAUAGGUCGUAGUCUUUUGACAUACGUACAUGCACAUGUAUGUAUUGUCAUUGUUGAACAUAAUUAUUGUGGUUCUAGUUUAAAUACCAAGAGAAUAAUUAUAUCAAUGCACCUCUUGCAUCCUUGGUAGUUUUCAGUAACGUACUAUAGCUCUUAUUUUACCAUGCAAGGUUAUGAUUUGAAUGUCACAAUCAACUAUUACUCAUCUGCAUACAUGUAUACCAAAGUCAGAUCAUGAGGAUAUAUAAUUAUAGUAAGAUGUAGACAGGGGCAAAACAAAUCGUCAGCUAUGUAUAUUAUUUUGAAGAAAGAGAUAUAGAAACACCUUUACUACCAGUGUGAGCUGUUCUGCAUGGUUUAACUCUUGCAUUGGCGGUCAGAACUGCGAAAGGGAAAAUGGCUUAAAAGAUUGUUGAUUCUGCAGUACUCCUCUGAAUGAAAAAUUAUCAUUGAGAGAAAGACCUCGAGCUCUCAGCUGUGAGAGUAUGCCGACAACCUCCACCAAUGGCCCCCACAAAAAAACGAAGAGAAAGCUUAUUCGAAACACAAGUGUGCUAUGUGUGGUGAGUGCCAAUCCCAUGUAGUC